GUCUAGACCAGGCCUAGUGUAGAUCACACGUGUUUCGAAAGUGGAAUUCCGCAUAGCAAAACACGGAACAUAACUAAAGUCAAACUGACAUUCGCGUACAUAGUAAAACGGUUAGUGCUCGGGGUUAUUGUUCGCGCCUCAAACUGUGGAAUCGGUAAUCCAAAUAUGUCACGGCAGUGCUACGCCUGAAGGUCACGAUUUCGGAGUUGGAAGUUUAGCAUCUGGACUCUAGAUUCUGGAGAAUUAAAAUCAAGUUUCCCAUUUAUCAACCCACACCUAGGAGACGAGUAGUUACAUCUUCAUUUUCAUCUACAGGGACGAGCAAAAUGGUUAAGGAACAACGCAAAGAAGAAGCAGAAGGCUGGUGUCUAUAAGUAGAAGAGGAUGGAAAGCGGAAGAAGGGUUGCUUCGAUGUGGGUGUUGUUUAGACGAGGCGUUGUUCUGGCUCGCAUAGAAUGUGGGUCGGCAGCGGCUUAGUGGCUCUGGUAAGCCUCAUGAAACACGAGUACCCACUGGGAUGUCACCGUUACCUGCUUUAUGGAGAUGGAAGCUUAUGCAUGAAUCGCCAGGAUAGGAAGGAUCCUUCGGUUGCUUGUCUACGCGACGGCUGCAUGCUUGAUGCCCCUCUAAGUAACAGUUCGUCAGCCCCUCUUAUUUUCGCUGGAACGCCUCGCGCCGUUUACACGAUCACCUUUCCUCUGUGUACACGGAGAUUCGCGAGCAACCGAGGCGACGCACAUUGGGACGCUUUUGCAUAAAAUAUGGGGUAACGUAAUAAAAAAAUUAUACAUUCUUAUUUGACACUUGGACUAAACAGAAAUUUUCUUUGUUAAAUUAAUUGCAUACUAUAAAAGUAUGUAUAAUAAUAUUUACAUCGUAGAUAAUGUGAAAAUGGCAAAUUAACGUAAUUAAUUUUCGAUGUCUGAUUGAAGAGAACGCGAGGAAUCAAAUGAAUGGCGAAUGAUCGGGCGAUAUAAUAAAAUUUAAAUUCUUGUUGCAAUAAUAUUUGCAGGAGAUAUUUCAAUGGGAUUCCAGAGGUAAAAAUAGCCGAAAGGAAGUCGAAUUGUUCCGGGAAAUAAUAUUUUCAUUAUUUUUUGAUCGGUCAAAGUACCGUUUUUGUAAUUCCGUUUCGUUAAGCGACUGUCACCUUUCCUCUUCAUCUCUCUUCCUCUAUAACCCCCGCACCCUUUUUAGUUUCAUUUUAUAAACGUACGCUUUAAUCAAACGUUUAUUAAAUCGCAUUUUCAACGUAGACGGUGCAAAUAUCGUUAAUAACGAUACCCUGCAGAGAUAAAAACGAAACUCCACGAUGGUCGGAACGUAGAAAAUAUUCAAAUCGGUGGUGAUCGUGCGUAUCCGUGAUCAUUGAAAUAAAUAUUACUUAAAUUGUGCGACCGUCCAACCGUUGACUCGUGAUUUUUGCAAUACCGAAAUUCGAAAUUUAUAAUUUUGAACGCAACGUGUAAUCACGUUGAGCCGAAACCUCUGGCUGGUCAGACGAUAUUUUUGGAAAAUAUUAAUGAAAUGCCUGAUACUCUCCUGCACAAGAAAGCAACCAUAUUUGGAAGAUAAUAAAAGUUCACGAACUCAUUCAUAAUUAAUUAUACUGAUUAUUAUUGAAAUUUCGUAUCAUUUAAAAUAUUGGAGAAUGUUUAAUUGUAGGUAGUAAGAGACAACAGGACUGACAAUGAGGUAAUCGGACAAGUAGUAUAAGUCAGUGACAAGUAGAAUAGACCGGCCACCCUCGGUGGUCAGACAAGUAGAACAGCCCGGACACCUUGAGUGGUCAGACAAGUAAUUAAAAGCUGUUCGUGGAAACACAGAAACAAAGAUUGAAAGAGACACAUCACGUAAUUCUGAUCUAGCAGGAUGAGAAAAUUUAGUUUAACCCUUCGCUUUAAAUAUUUUACUCCUGCACAUACAUAUAGAAACAUUACCAAAGAGUAAUUGUUUUUUUGUAAUUCUCCAUUUUCUGGUCCGCGGAACAAAGACUUGUCGUUUUAAUAUAAUUUAUCCCGUUAACUGUGUGCACCGCUGGAACGUAUCAUUAUCCCGACGAAGCAUAUUUUAAUUACGAAAGAGACUAAUUUAAAGAUUAAUUUAUUAGCGUGCACGCGUGCGCAUCCUCGACGUAUCGUCGUUCUUCUUUGCGUUACACCGGUAAACGUAAAUAACAAUUAUCCUAAUGGAAAUAAACCGUGCUUUUCAGAUUUCUUUCUCUCUCCUUCGAAUUUGUUGAUUUUUAUUUUUAAUUCAUUAAACUGAACUCAAUUCGACUCGUACGGAACGGCAACGCGCGUAAAAGCAUUCCGUAAGCAAUUUUAUUUUGUUUCAGCGCGUCGAAUCUUCUUCGUGAAAAUCCAUUAAAAUUAUUUGCGCGAACGACCUAUCUUUUUUGAGAAGGUAGAUUAAUUUCGUGCCAGUUUACGUAUCCUCCAAGUAAGAUUCUCGUCAUUUCUCGAUCGAAUCUAGUUAACGAUCCCAUUAAGAGCGACGCCUCUCGAUUCCACGAUCGACACGAGCGUUUCUCGAAUUAUAUACACAGUCGUUAAUGGAAUCGACGACGAGAUGAUAAUAGAAGCGCCUAGCAUCGAAGCAAUAACACCAAUCUCGGUCCCGUGCUCGACAAAGAAGUACCACCCUCUCUCUCUCUGAUUUUUUGAUCGAGCGUCUUUAAUUAAGAUCUUCCGUCGAAAUUUCCCCGGCGUAUUCGGCUUCUGGAGCUCCACGAAAGCGGCCACAAUUCUCGAUAAACCGUGCUGAAAGGAAACUCGUUAAAACCAAUCCAGCAGCGAUCGAAUCGAUCGUUUUGCGCGGUUCGAAAAGACGCAAAAGAAAGACAGGAAGCUGAAGAGUUUCGAAGGGUAAGUUGGGGUGGUUUGAAAAGAGAGACGCUUCGAAAGAAAGCAGAAAGAAGAUUAUAUUCUUUUAUUAUUGUAGACGCAGCUGUAAAUCGUGAGAUUAUUGUCGUAACUAGAAUUUUGUCUAAGAUGUACUAGAUCCCCUAGUUUCAUUGAAAGUUUUUAAA